rnacentral:rRNA from 1 species
CACGGGAGGGGCAAGCCUAGAGCGAUUUGACUAGGCGUACAGAGUGUCUGAGCGUAGUGGUGGCAAACCAGAGUCAAUCCUGGCUACAAAUGCAGGGCAACACGUGGAGCAUCGUUUAAAUGAUAAUAUGCCACGUGGAAAGCCGACGGCGUAGGCGCUUGCAGUAAAGCCACUGAAGCUUCAACACGGAAGCUGGGGGAGCGAAACGG